AUGAUUUGCCCGCUCUACUCCCUUCCCCCCACCAGGAGGUGGGAGCACCAGCUCCACUUCCCUGAAGGAAAACCGAAGCCAAGCCCCCAGGCCUGCCAUAGUGAAGGUCAUUGCAGCGCUGGGCCUGGAGAGCUGAUCACAGGCUUCAGGGGUUGGGGGUGGGGGGCUGGUGGGGUGGGAGGGUGGCUGGGGGCCUCCAGAGAUGAGCCCCAAAGGAUCGCAGGAGGGGCAGACGCAGGCUGGGAGUUGCAGAGGGCCGGGUUCAAAUCCUGCCUCUGUUAUGCUGUGUGACCUUGAAUAAGUAAUUUAACCUACGAGUGUGAGACUCCUAAUUUGCAACUCGAAGAUGAGUAGUCCCUCCCUCGCUGAGUCACUGUAAGGAUUCAGGAUUGUGACCUUCCUGUCCCCAGCAGAGCUCUGGGGUAUUUGAGGAGCAGGCUGAGAAGGGUUGGGGACGGCACAGUGACUGCACGUCCCUGGAUUCCCAGGUCCACCUUGGUUUCCAAAAUUCGACUGGGGCCUGCGGUCCCUCCGCGUGAGAGUGCUCGGGGCACUGCGCGCACCGGGUCCCCACCCUCGCGCCCCGACACGCCUGCCGCCCAGCCUCACCUCGCUCCUCCCGCCAUCGGCUCCAGCUCGUCCCCCUGCCAACGCCGGGUGCGGUCUUCCGGGCAGCUCCCCAGGCUGCCCUCCUCCCCUUCUCCCGUCCCCAAAGGUGCGCUCCUGGAGGAUAAAGCGGGCGCCAAGCCGAGCGUCCCGGCUGUGCGGGCUGCGGGCGUGUAAAACCCCCAAGACCCCAGUCCCGUCAGACUCCAGCCCUCCCACGGUCUAAGCGCGCCCCGACCUGCUGGACCUCCCCGAGGGGACAGCGCCCGGGCCCUUCCCUGGCCCCACGGAGGCGAGGACCGGGCGGCGCCGAGACGCGGGAGGCGGGGGCGCUGACCCAGGCAGGCGGCUGGGAGAGCAGCCGGCCUCAUCCUCCUGCCGGCGCUACCGGGGCCGCCGAGGGGCGGGGAGGGCAGACCGGACUGCAGGCAGCGCCGGAGGCUUCCCUCAUGGCUCAGGCGGUGAAGAAUCGGCCUGCAAUGCAGGAGACCCAGGUUUGAUUCCUGUGUCGGGAAGAUACCCUGGAGGAGGAAAUGGCAACCCUCUCCAGUAUUCUUGCCUGGANNNNNNNNCGGACAGAGGAGCCUGGCGGGCUACAGUCCAUGGGGACGCAAGAGUCGGACACGACUGAGCGACUAAACCACCACCACCACCUGGAACAAAGUAGCCUGGAGGGGAAGGCUUGGUGGGCGCCCUCCACAGACCUCGGACCUCAAGCCAGAGACAUCCAGCGGCGCUCUGCCCAGGAGACGCGCUCUUGCCUCUCCAGUAUCGAGAAAAGGCGACCCUAAAAAAAAAGUCCAAAAUUCUCCAAGCCAGACUUCAGCAAUAAGUGAACCGUGAACUCCCUGAUGUUCAAGCUGGUU
rnacentral:lncRNA from 1 species